rnacentral:rRNA from 1 species
AGUGAACGCUGGCGGUAGGCCUAACACAUGCGAGUCGAACGGCAGCACAGUAAGAGCUUGCUCUUACGGGUGGCGAGUGGCGGACGGGUGAGGAAUACAUCAGAAUCUACUUUUUCGUGGGGGAUAACGUAGGGAAACUUACGCUAAUACCGCAUACGACCUACGGGUGAAAGCAGGGGAUCUUCGGACCUUGCGCGAUUGAAUGAGCCGAUGUCGGAUUAGCUAGUUGGCGGGGUAAAGGCCCACCAAGGCGACGAUCCGUAGCUGGUCUGAGAGGAUGAUCAGCCACACUGGAACUGAGACACGGUCCAGACUCCUACGGGAGGCAGCAGUGGGGAAUAUUGGACAAUGGGCGCAAGCCUGAUCCAGCCAUACCGCGUGGGUGAAGAAGGCCUUCGGGUUGUAAAGCCCUUUUGUUGGGAAAGAAAAGCAGCAGGUUAAUACCCCGCUGUUCUGACGGUACCCAAAGAAUAAGCGCCGGCUAACUUCGUG